UACGAAGGGGGCUAGCGUUGCUCGGAAUCACUGGGCGUAAAGCGCACGUAGGCGGAUCGAUCAGUCAGGGGUGAAAUCCCAGGGCUCAACCCUGGAACUGCCUUUGAUACUGUCGAUCUGGAGUAUGGAAGAGGUGAGUGGAAUUCCGAGUGUAGAGGUGAAAUUCGUAGAUAUUCGGAGGAACACCAGUGGCGAAGGCGGCUCACUGGUCCAAUACUGACGCUGAGGUGCGAAAGCGUGGGGAGCAAACAGG
rnacentral:rRNA from 1 species